rnacentral:rRNA from 1 species
AACGCGAAGAACCUUACCCAGGCUUGACAUGCAGUGGAAGACGGCAGAGAUGUCGUCGCUCGCGAGAGUCGCUGCACAGGUGCUGCAUGGCUGUCGUCAGCUCGUGCCGUGAGGUGUUGGGUUAAGUCCCGCAACGAGCGCAACCCUUAUCACUAGUUGCCAACACGUAAAGGUGGGAACUCUAGUGAGACUGCCCGGGUUAACCGGGAGGAAGGUGAGGAUGACGUCAAGUCCGCAUGGCCCUUAUGUCUGGGGCUACACACGUGCUACAAUGGUCGGUACAGAGGGAAGCCAAGCCGCGAGGCGGAGCAAAUCCAUAAAGCCGGCCCCAGUUCAGAUUGUAGUCUGCAACUCGACUACAUGAAGUUGGAAUUGCUAGUAAUGGCGUGUCAGCUACAGCGCCGUGAAUACGUUCCCGGGCCUUGUACACACCGGAGUGC